rnacentral:rRNA from 1 species
AGACGUCUACAUUAGAUACCCCGGUAGUCCCAGCCGUAAACUAUGCGCGUUAGAUGUAUCGGUGACCACGAGUCACCGAGGUGCCGAAGGGAAACCGUGAAACGUGCCGCCUGGGAAGUACGGUCGCAAGGCUGAAACUUAAAGGAAUUGGCGGGGAGCACCACAACGGGUGGAGCCUGCGGUUUAAUUGGACUCAACGCCGGGAAGCUCACCGGAUAAGACAGCGGAAUGAUUGCCGGGCUGAAGACUCUGCAUGACUAGCUG